UNGCANCUAUNAUGCAGUCGAGCGAUGGAUUAAGAGCUUGCUCUUAUGCANGUUAGCGGCGGACGGGUGAGUAACACGUGGGAUAACCUGCCCAUAAGACUGGGAUAACUCCGGGCAAACCGGGGCUAAUACCGGAUAACAUUUUGAACCGCAUGGUUCGAAAUUGAAAGGCGGCUUCGGCUGUCACUUAUGGAUGGACCCGCGUCGCAUUAGCUAGUUGGUGAGGUAACGGCUCACCAAGGCAACGAUGCGUAGCCGACCUGAGAGGGUGAUCGGCCACACUGGGACUGAGACACGGCCCAGACUCCUACGGGAGGCAGCAGUAGGGAAUCUUCCGCAAUGGACGAAAGUCUGACGGAGCAACGCCGCGUGAGUGAUGAAGGCUUUCGGGUCGUAAAACUCUGUUGUUAGGGAAGAACAAGUGCUAGUUGAAUAAGCUGGCACCUUGACGGUAUCUANCCAGAAAGCCACGGCUAACUACGUGCCAGCAGCCGCGGUAAUACGUAGGUGGCAAGCGUUAUCCGGAAUUAUUGGGCGUAAAGCGCGCGCAGGUGGUUUCUUAAGUCUGAUGUGAAAGCCCACGGCUCAACCGUNGGAGGGUCAUUGGAAACUGGGGANGACUUGAGUGCAGAAGAGAAGUUGAAAUUUCCAUGUNGUAGCGGUGAAUUGCGUAGNANANNUGGGAGAACACCAGUUGCGAAAGGCGACUUUUCUCUGGGUCNUNGG
rnacentral:rRNA from 1 species